AUUGAACGCUGGCGGCAGGCUUAACACAUGCAAGUCGAACGAGUGGCGGACGGGUGAGUAAUGCUUGGGAAUCUAGCUUAUGGAGGGGGCUAACUACGGGAAACUGUAGCUAAUACCGCGUACCAUAGGAUGAGCCCAAGUGGUAUUAGGUAGUUGGUGAGGUAAAGGCCUACCAAGGCGACGAUCAGUAGCGGGUCUGAGAGGAUGAGCCGCCACACUGGGACUGAGACACGGCCCAGACUCCUACGGGAGGCAGCAGUGGGGAAUUUUGGACAAUGGGCGCAAGCCUGAGCCAGCCAUGCCGCGUGUCUGAAGAAGGCCUUCGGGUUGUAAAGGACUUUUGUCAGGGAAGCGGUACCUGAAGAAUAAGCACCGGCUAACUACGUGCCAGCCGCCGCGGUAAUUC
rnacentral:rRNA from 1 species